rnacentral:rRNA from 1 species
UACGGGGGGAGCAAGCGUUGUUCGGAUUUACUGGGCGUAAAGGGCGCGUAGGCGGUAGCACAAGUCAGUUGUGAAAUCUCCGGGCUUAACCCGGAAAGGUCAGCCGAUACUGCGGGGCUAGAGUGCAGAAGGGGCAACUGGAAUUCUCGGUGUAGCGGUGAAAUGCGUAGAUAUCGAGAGGAACACCUGCGGCGAAGGCGGGUUGCUGGGCUGACACUGACGCUGAAGUGCGAAAGCUAGGGGAGCGAACAGG